rnacentral:rRNA from 1 species
ACACCGGCAGCUCUAGUGGUAACAAUUUUUAUUGGGCCUAAAGCGUCCGUAGCCGGUUUAAUAAGUCUCUGGUGAAAUCCUGUAGCUUAACUGUGGGAAUUGCUGGAGAUACUAUUAGACUUGAGACCGGGAGAGGUUAGAGGUACUCCCAGGGUAGAGGUGAAAUUCUGUAAUCCUGGGAGGACCGCCUGUUGCGAAGGCGUCUAACUGGAACGGUUCUGACGGUGAGGGACGAAAGUUAGGGGCGCGAACCGGAUUAGAUACCCGGGUAGUCCUAACUGUAAACGAUGCGGACUUGGUGUUGGGGUGGCUUUGAGCUGCUCCAGUGCCGAAGGGAAGCUGUUAAGUCCGCCGCCUGGGAAGUACGGUCGCAAGACUGAAACUUAAAGGAAUUGACGGGG